CCCCUCAGUUGGUGGAUGAGCGCCGGGAGCCGCACAAAUGGCACCGCAAAAAGGUGGGGGGGGGGGGGGGCAAAAAUGGGGCAAAAAAGGGCGGAAAUGGGCAAAAAUGGGGCGGAAAUGGGCGGAAAUGGGCAAAAAUGGGGCAAAAUUGGGCAGAAAUGGGCAAAAAUGGGGCAGAAAUGGGGAAAAAUGGGGCAGAAAUGGGGUAAAAUUGGGCGGAAAUGGGCAAAAAUGGGGCAGAAAUGGGCGGAAAUGAGUGAAAAUGUGGCAGAAAUGGGGAAAAAUGGGGCAGAAAUGGGCAAAAAUGGGCGGAAAUGGGCAAAAAUGGGCAAAAAUGGGGCAGAAAUGGGUGAAAAUGGGGCAAAAUUGGGCGGAAAUGGGGAGAAAUGGGGAUAAAUGGGGCAAAAUUGGGCGGAAAUGGGCAAAAAUGGGGCAGAAAUGGGGCAAAAUGGGGCAGAAAUGGGCAAAAAAUGGGGCAGAAAUGGGCAAAAAUGGGGCAGAAAUGGGGCAGAAAUGGGCAAAAAUGGGGCAGAAUUGGGCGGAAAUGGGCUAAAAUGGGGCAGAAAUGGGACAGAAAUGGGCAGAAAUGGGGAAAAAUGGGGCAGAAAUGGGGCAAAAUUGGGCGGAAAUGGGCAAAAAUGGGGCAGAAAUGGGGCAAAAUUGGGCGGAAAUGGGCAAAAAUGGGGCAAAAAAGGGCGGAAAUGGGCAAAAAUGGGGCAAAAAAGGGCGGAAAUGGGUGAAAAUGGGGCAAAAAAGGGCAGAAAUAGGCAAAAAUGGGGCAGAAAUGGGGAGAAAUGGGGCAAAAAUGGGGCAGAAAUGAGCAAAAAUGUGGCAAAAUUGGGGCAAAAAAGAGCAGAAAUGGGCAAAAAUGGGGCAGAAAUGGGCAGAAAUGGGUGAAAAUGGGCAGAAAUGGGGCAAAAAUGGGGCAAAAAAGGGCAGAAAUGGGCAAAAAUGGGGAGAAAUGGGCAAAAAUGGGGCAGAAAUGGGGCAUAAAUGGGCAAAAAAUUGGGCAGAAAUGGGGCAAAAUUGGGGCAAAAAAGAGCAGAAAUGGGCAAAAAUGGGGCAGAAAUGGGUGAAAAUGGGGUAAAAUUGGGCAGAAAUGGGGCAAAAAAGGGCAGAAAUGGGCAAAAAUGGGGAGAAUUGGGCAAAAAUGGGGCAGAAAUGGGGCAUAAAUGGGCAAAAAUGGGGCAGAAAUGGGCAAAAAUGGGGCAGAAAUGGGUGAAAAUGGGGCAAAAAAAGGGUAAUUUUGGGGGUAUUUUGAGUGGGAAAAUGUCCAAUUUGGGGGAAUUUUGGGUGGAAAACAUCCAAUUUUGGGUUAUUUUUGGGGUAUUUGGAGUGGGAAAACGUCCAAUUUUGGGUUAUUUUGGCAUAUUUUGAGUAGGAAAAUGUCCAAAUUUGGGGUAUUUUGGGUGGAAAAGUCCAAUUUUGGGUUAUUUUGGGGGUAUUUUGAGUGGGAAAACAUCCAAUUUGGGGCAUAUUUUGGGGUCUUGGAGGUGAAAAUGUCCAAUUUUGGGUCUCCAUUUUGGGUUAAAAUCCACCUUAAAGGGAUUUAAAGGGGCCUUAAAGGGGUUUAAUGGGGUUUUGGGGGGCCUUAACGGGGAUUAAUGGGGUCUGGG
ensembl:lncRNA